GCCUGGUUAGCUUGGUUGGUAAAGCGUCUGCCUUGUAAGCGCUACGCCGCGGGUUCGAUUCUCACCUCGGGCG
rnacentral:tRNA from 1 species